rfam:Chlorocebus sabaeus isolate 1994-021 chromosome 20, whole genome shotgun sequence.
GCCGGGCAUGGUGGCAGGUGCCUGUAAUCCCAGCUACUGUGGAGGCUGAGGCAGGAGAAUCGCUUGAAUCCAGGAGGCGGUGGUUGUGGUGAGCUGAGAACAUGCCACUGCACUCCAGCCUGGGCAANNNNNNNNNNUUGCCCAGGCUGGAGUGCAGUGGCAUGUUCUCAGCUCACCACAACCACCGCCUCCUGGAUUCAAGCGAUUCUCCUGCCUCAG